AACGAACGCUGGCGGCGUGGAUUAGGCAUGCAAGUCGAGCGAGAAAGGGGCUUCGGCCCUGAGUAAAGCGGCGAACUGGUGAGUAACAGGUGGGUAACGUGCCCUGAAGUGGGGGAUAACACGAGGAAACUCGUGCUAAUACCGCAUAUGGCCGGAGGGACUUUGGUUCUUCCGGUUAAAGACUUCGGUCGCUUCAGGAUCGGCCCGCCCCCGAUUAGCUAGUUGGUGAGGUAAUGGCUCACCAAGGCUUCGAUCGGUAGCUGGUCUGAGAGGAUGGUCAGCCACACUGGGACUGAGAUACGGCCCAGACUCCUACGGGGGGCAGCAGUCUAGAGGCUUCGUCAAUGGGGGAAACCCUGAACGAGCGACGCCGCGUGCGGGAUUGAAGGCCUUCGGGUCGUAAACCGCUGUCAGGAGGGACGAAUGCCUGGAUGGUGAAUUCAGGUUUGACGGUACCUCCAGAGGAAGCCCCGGCUAACUCCGUG
rnacentral:rRNA from 1 species